rnacentral:rRNA from 1 species
GUGUGCCUACGGGAGGCAGCAGUAGGGAAUUUUCGUCAAUGGGCGCAAGCCUGAACGAGCGAUGCCGCGUGAGUGAAGAAGGCCUUCGGGUCGUAAAGCUCUGUUGCGGGGGAAAAAAGGCAGCAUCAGGAAAUGGGUGCUGACUGAUGGUGCCCCGCCAGAAAGUCACGGCUAACUACGUGCCAGCAGCCGCGGUAAUACGUAGGUGGCGAGCGUUAUCCGGAAUGAUUGGGCGUAAAGGGUGCGCAGGCGGGCCUGCAAGUCUGGAGGGAAACGCAUGAGCUCAACUCCUGCAUGGCUUUGUG